rfam:Apaloderma vittatum contig25965, whole genome shotgun sequence.
UGGAUAUGAUGACUGAUUAUCUGAAAUGCUGAUGAAACUGUUGUGGAAAUCCUCUAGAUAGUCAAGUGCUGAUCCAG